UACGAAGGGGGCUAGCGUUGUUCGGAAUUACUGGGCGUAAAGGGCGCGUAGGCUGUGCUGUAAGUCAGGCGUGAAAGCCCCGGGCUCAACCUGGGAAUUGCGCUUGAUACUGCGGCGCUGGAAGGUGGGAGAGGAUGGCGGAAUUCCCAGUGUAGAGGUGAAAUUCGUAGAUAUGGGGAGGAACACCGGUGGCGAAGGCGGCCAUCUGGACGGAUACUGACGCUGAGACGCGGAAGCGUGGGGAGCGAACAGG
rnacentral:rRNA from 1 species